rnacentral:tRNA from 1 species
CCGAUCUUAGCUCAGUUGGUAGAGCGGAGGACUGUAGUUUGAUGACCGAAAUCCUUAGGUCGCUUGUUCGAAUCCGGCAGGUCGGA